rnacentral:misc_RNA from 1 species
UCUCUCUCUCUCUCUCUGCGUGUGUGUACUUGACAACUGCUGAUCAGAUCAUACAGUUUUUUACAGGAUUUUCCCUGACUUUCUCACCACCCAAGCAAUACAUUAAUUUCUGCCCCAAAAUCCCUGGAAGUUGAGUUGGGUCUUGAUUAUUGGGUCAGUGUUCGGUUCAGGAACUGUUGCUUGAUUAGUUGGCUCUGAUGCUGUCUCAAUUUGCUGCGGUUGAACUAGUGGGAUUGGAGGAAUUGGAGCUGGAAGGCAGUGUUUGGCUGUUCCAGAGCGUGGAUUUGUUAGGGUUUGAGAGGCUAUUGAAUGUGUUGUUGGUGAAUGGAAGGGUUUGGCUUUCUUGAAAAUGGUGAGUAGAUUGUUUUGGUCGUGAUGUCGCGGACUGAUAGAAUGGCCUCGGAUCUUAGUAGGACUGGCCCAGUUGAAAGGGACAUCGAGCAGGCAAUCACCGCUUUAAAGAAGGGGGCUUGCUUGCUUAAGUAUGGGAGAAGAGGAAAGCCCAAGUUUUGUCCUUUUCAUCUUUCCAAU